CUGAGGAACUUGUUAAACUACAGAGCCUGAUUCAGCGGGUCUGAGAUUUUGCAUUUCUAACAAGUUCCUAGGU
rnacentral:miRNA from 1 species